rnacentral:rRNA from 1 species
CCUACGGGAGGCAGCAGUGGGGAAUCUUGCGCAAUGCACGAAAGUGUGACGCAGCAACGCCGCGUGGAGGAAGAAGGCUCUCGGGUCGUAAACUCCUUUCAGUUGGGACGAAGCUUCGUCGGUUAAUAGCCGGCUGGAGUGACGGUACCUUCACAAGAAGCACCGGCUAACUACGUGCCAGCAGCCGCGGUAAUACGUAGGGUGCAAGCGUUGUCCGGAAUCAUUGGGCGUAAAGAGCGUGUAGGCGGCCCGAUUAGUCCGCUGUGAAAGUCCAGGGCUCAACCCUGGAAUGCCGGUGGAUACUGUCGGGCUCGAGUCCGGAAGAGGCGAGUGGAAUUCCUGGUGUAGCGGUGAAAUGCGCAGAUAUCAGGAAGAACACCAACGGCGAAGGCAGCUCGCUGGGACGGUACUGACGCUGAGACGCGAAAGCGUGGGGAGCAAACAGGAUUAGAUACCCUGGUAGUCCACGCCGUAAACGAUGGGUACUAGGUGUGGGGGUGUCGACUCCCCCGUGCCGAGCUACGCAUAGUACCCGCCUGGGGNGACGCGCGAGAACGUAACUACAANAGUAGUUGACGGCGUUGNGACGNGCCGACGGCGACGACGAGGGAGGAGG